rnacentral:rRNA from 1 species
GACGAACGCUGGCGGCGUGCUUAACACAUGCAAGUCGAACGGAAAGGCCCUGCUUUUGUGGGGUGCUUGAGUGGCGAACGGGUGAGUAACACGUGAGUAACCUGCCCUUGACUUUGGGAUAACUUCAGGAAACUGGGGCUAAUACCGGAUAGGAGCUCCUGCUGCACGGUGGGGGUUGGAAAGUUUCGGCGGUUGGGGAUGGACUCGAGGCUUAUCAGCUUGUUGGUGGGGUAGUGGCUUACCAAGGCUUCGACGGGUAGCCGGCCUGGGAGGGUGACCGGCCACAUGGGGACUGAGAUACGGCCCAGACGCCUACGGGAGGCAGCAGUGGAGAAUAUUGCACAAUGGGCGGAAGCCUGAUGCAGCAACGCCGCGUGCGGGAUGACGGCCUUCGGGUUGUAAACCGCUUUCGCCUGUGACGAAGCGUGAGUGACGGUAAUGGGUAAAGAAGCACCGGCUAACUACGUG